AGUGAACGCUGGCGGUAGGCCUAACACAUGCAAGUCGAACGGCAGCACAGUAAGAGCUUGCUCUUACGGGUGGCGAGUGGCGGACGGGUGAGGAAUACAUCGGAAUCUACUUUUUCGUGGGGGAUAACGUAGGGAAACUUACGCUAAUACCGCAUACGACCUACGGGUGAAAGCAGGGGAUCUUCGGACCUUGCGCGAUUGAAUGAGCCGAUGUCGGAUUAGCUAGUUGGCGGGGUAAAGGCCCACCAAGGCGACGAUCCGUAGCUGGUCUGAGAGGAUGAUCAGCCACACUGAAACUGAGACACGGUCCAGACUCCUACGGGAGGCAGCAGUGGGGAAUAUUGGACAAUGGGCGCAAGCCUGAUCCAGCCAUACCGCGUGGGUGAAGAAGGCCUUCGGGUUGUAAAGCCCUUUUGUUGGGAAAGAAAAGCAGCAGGUUAAUACCCCGCUGUUCUGACGGUACCCAAAGAAUAAGCACCGGCUAACUUCGUA
rnacentral:rRNA from 1 species